GUUCCAGUUCUUCUUGCUGUUUUCACUGUCAUUAUCACUGCUCGCUUCAGUGUGUGUCUCUGAUUGGUCAAUAGGCAGCAGUGGGUGUGGCCCAGAGAAACCCAGCGUCAGUGACAUCAUUAACCUCGAGAUGUUGCAACUUGGAUCCAAACUGAAAUCAAGUAACACACAGUCAGGCUGGUCCUGUCCUUCCUGUACAUUCAUAAAUAAGUCUACGAGACCCGGCUGUGAAAUCUGCAGCACAGAUCGACCCAAUCCUCCCAAUCACAGCAGCGUUCAACAGG